GUUUGUGUCUCUCGUCCAGGAUGAAUGUGUUGCUCUCCGUCUCUCUCUGGCUUGCUCUGAUCAUGUCGUCGUGUUGUGGACACGAGACGGAAGAGCUGACCACCGAUCAUACAGUGACACAGACGACAGACUACGACUACAACUACGACCACACCUUUGAUUACUCCAGCUUCCCCGAGGUGCAGCUUAUAAUCCCAAACAAGGGUUCAGGGAUUGGCCAGCUGAACCUGGUACUCCUGCUGGGAUUGGUGAUUCUUCACGCCUGGAAUUGAUUGGUGGGCGGAGACAAGGACGAGCUAUCAUUUGAUGAUUUCUGAACUCACUUCCUGUUAUGAAUCUGCAACUUUCAGCUUCUUCUUUCACAUCUCUGCACCUCGAUUAACCGCAGCGGGGUUUCCUCCUGGAGGCCAGAGGAAGUCAAGCUUCCCAUUUUUUUAUUUAAGUUUCAUUUUAAUAAAAGCAGUUUUUAAAGCAAUAGAUCCUGUAUCACUCUCAACACUGGCAUCGUUACUCUAGUCCAAUCAUCUUUAUGCUCGCCUGCUUUGAGCCAAUCAGCCUCCGCUCUGCACGGUUUAAAUUUCAGUGCUCUUCCUUCAUUCCCCCUUUCUGACUCUCCUUUCUAAAAACCCGCCUCCCUCCUCCCCACCCCCACCUCGCCCGAGUCACUCAGAGCUCCGUCCCAGCCUCAGGUUUCACCUUCAGCACCACCUGCGUCUGACUCUGAUGGGUCACCACUGGGAUCCUGUUCUGCCAUGAUGACUCAUCAGAGUCUAGUCACCAAAUAGAUUCACUAAAAUGAAUUUCUCUUUCUCAA